GACGAACGCUGGCGGCGUGCUUAACACAUGCAAGUCGAACGGAAAGGCCCUGCUUGCAGGGUACUCGAGUGGCGAACGGGUGAGUAACACGUGGGUGAUCUGCCCUGCACUUCGGGAUAAGCCUGGGAAACUGGGUCUAAUACCGGAUAGGAGCCAUUUUUAGUGUGAUGGUUGGAAAGUUUUUUCGGUGUAGGAUGAGCUCGCGGCCUAUCAGCUUGUUGGUGGGGUAAUGGCCUACCAAGGCGGCGACGGGUAGCCGGCCUGAGAGGGUGGACGGCCAAAUUGGGACUGGAAUACGGCCCAAACCCCUACGGGAGGAAGCAGUGGGGAAUAUUGCACAAUGGGCCCAAGCCUGAUGCAGCGACGCCGCGUGGGGGAUGACGGCCUUCGGGUUGUAAACUCCUUUCGCUAGGGACGAAGCUUUUUGUGACGGUACCUAGAUAAGAAGCACCGGCUAACUACGU
rnacentral:rRNA from 1 species